UAGGGAAUCUUCGGCAAUGGGGGCAACCCUGACCGAGCAACGCCGCGUGAGUGAAGAAGGUUUUCGGAUCGUAAAGCUCUGUUGUAAGAGAAGAACGAGUGUGAGAGUGGAAAGUUCACACUGUGACGGUAACUUACCAGAAAGGGACGGCUAACUACGUGCCAGCAGCCGCGGUAAUACGUAGGUCCCGAGCGUUAUCCGGAUUUAUUGGGCGUAAAGCGAGCGCAGGCGGUUAGAUAAGUCUGAAGUUAAAGGCUGUGGCUUAACCAUAGUACGCUUUGGAAACUGUUUAACUUGAGUGCAGAAGGGGAGAGUGGAAUUCCAUGUGUAGCGGUGAAAUGCGUAGAUAUAUGGAGGAACACCGGUGGCGAAAGCGGCUCUCUGGUCUGUAACUGACGCUGAGGCUCGAAAGCGUGGGGAGCAAACAGGAUUAGAUACCCUGGUAGUCCACGCCGUAAACGAUGAGUGCUAGGUGUUGGGUCCUUUCCGGGACUCAGUGCCGCAGCUAACGCAUUAAGCACUCCGCCUGGGGGGUACGACCGCAAGGUUG
rnacentral:rRNA from 1 species